UACAGAGGUCUCAAGCGUUGUUCGGAUUCAUUGGGCGUAAAGGGUGCGUAGGCGGCGCGGUAAGUCGGGUGUGAAAUCUCGGAGCUUAACUCCGAAACUGCAUUCGAUACUGCCGUGCUUGAGGACUGGAGAGGAGACUGGAAUUUACGGUGUAGCGGUGAAAUGCGUAGAUAUCAAGAGGAAUACCUGAGGUGAAGACGGGUUGCUAGGCUGACACUGACGCUGAGUGCGCGAAAGCCAGGGGAGCAAACGGG
rnacentral:rRNA from 1 species